GAACGCACCUUGCACCCUCUGGUAUUCCGGAGGGUAUGCCCGGUUGAGUGUCAUGAAUAUCUCAACUCCAAUGUUUUGUCAAGGUCUUGUCGACUCGUCCUGCUGGCCUAGCGAGGCUGCUGUGACUGUUGCGAGGCUGAAGCGUUGGAGCUUGGACUUGAGCUCUGUUGGCCUUCCGAGGUCGACUGGCUAGAAAUGCAUCAGCGAUGACGUCCCUUGGGUCCAUCUCGGCGUGAUAAGUUGAUCGUCGCAAAGGUCCUCGGGUUGGCUCGCUCCUAAUGGUCUUCGGACAGCCUCUGACGUUUACACCUCAACUCGGGUAGGACUACCCGCUGAACUUAAG
rnacentral:misc_RNA from 1 species